GUGGGAUUAUGCUUCCUUAACUUAAGGGUGUGUAUUGCUUCUUACCCACGUUUGUUUCACGUAGCAGUUAGUUUAUUUCUUUAGUAUUGUAUUUAAGCAUGAGUUGAGAAGAGAAGGAAUAUGAAAAGAAAAUUGCAGUAAACUUGUCCUUGAGAACCAAAGUGUUCUUGUUCUUGUGUUCUUGUUUUGAUCAACAUUGAUUG
rnacentral:lncRNA from 1 species